UUCCCUCAUUUGGGAGAUUCUUCUUCCAUCAGUUACCAAAUUUAUGUGUGUAAAGGAGGGCAAACAGUGUCUCAUAUGCUAAUGAAGUUUAAUUUUCAGCUGAAGCAUUUUUCACAAGUAUUUGAAACAUUAACGAUAGAUCUAAAUAAUUUCUGUAGAAGGGAGUUAUAACUUUGGUGAACUUGGCAUUCAUUCUGUGAACCUAGAGAUUGCAAGUCGACAGUUCAUUCAACAGCUACUUCCUGUAUGCCUGAGAUGUACAGGGCACAGUGUAUAGGUCCACAUAUUAAUUAGAAAUUGUCCAUGUUUUCUUAUAGGUGGAAAAAUACUUAACUCAAAUUAGAAUUAUGUAAAAUUAUUAUAAACCCAUUUGAAGAGCCGACAAGCCUUCCUAGAAAAUAGAUGGUAUUUGAGCUCAUUCUAAUAUAUAAAAAACAAAAUUACCUUCCAAGAAUAAAGGAAAAGAUAUCCCAAGAAAAGAGAAGAAUGUAUUCAAGUGCAGAGAGCAACAGGUAGAGUUUGGAAUCAGUCCUGUUAUCCUGGAUUCGGUGUCAGCUGUGCUAAGACAUUUGAUCACUUUUGUGACUAAGCUAUUUGAACAGUCUGCAGUUUGCUGAACCUUGAUCCCACAUUAACUGAAGCAGCCUCAAAUCCAUUAGAGGGAAGGUAAGUCACCUUUGUAAGUCAAACAGUCUCAUAAAUUAUUCUCAUUAUAGAGUAAUGGUCUGUGAUGAUUCAAAUCUUUCCAAGUGUUGAACGUUCUGUUUUCUGUAUGCUGUGGUGUAGUAGGGAAAUUACAGGUUAUUUUAAAACUUCGGCCAUUUAGAAAAAAAAAGUUUAGACUCUAUCAAAGUAUCAUUUAGGUCUUCUGCCCAGAUAUUUUGUGGGCAUGUAUGUUGAACAAUAAUAUUUCUUUUAUAAAUAUUGUGAAUUAUGGAUAUUUCAUGCUCUAGUCUAUUUUCAAGUUUGGGAGGGGGUCAAAUGAAAUAAUAUCCAUUUAUAAUAAUUAUGGUAAACUACCAUGUUUUUGUUCAUAUCCACUUGACAUAGUCCAAUCUCUGUGUUAAACUGCCUUGCACACUUUAAAGUAGCACAU
rnacentral:lncRNA from 9 species